GGCGGACGGGUGAGUAAUGUCUGGGAAACUGCCUGAUGGAGGGGGAUAACUACUGGAAACGGUAGCUAAUACCGCAUAACGUCGCAAGACCAAAGAGGGGGACCUUCGGGCCUCUUGCCAUCGGAUGUGCCCAGAUGGGAUUAGCUAGUAGGUGGGGUAACGGCUCACCUAGGCGACGAUCCCUAGCUGGUCUGAGAGGAUGACCAGCCACACUGGAACUGAGACACGGUCCAGACUCCUACGGGAGGCAGCAGUGGGGAAUAUUGCACAAUGGGCGCAAGCCUGAUGCAGCCAUGCCGCGUGUAUGAAGAAGGCC
rnacentral:rRNA from 1 species